rnacentral:rRNA from 1 species
UUGCAGUUAAAAAGCUCGUAGUUGGAUUUCUGGUAUGAUGCGUUUGUCCCGGCUAGCAAUAGAUCGUGUGACUUUGCGCGUCUACCAUCCUUCGCUUCAGGUGUGCUGACGUGUAAAAGCGUUAGCAGCUGUUGUGAUCUUUUACUUUGAAAAAAUUAGAGUGUUUAAAGCAGGCUUGUGCCUUGAAUACAUUAGCAUGGAAUAAUAAUAUAGGACUGGGUUCCUAUUUUGUUGGUUUUCUGGAAUCAAGUAAUGAUUGAUAGGGAUAGUUGGGGGUGCUAGUAUUCAGCGGCCAGAGGUGAAAUUCUUUGAUUCGCUGAAGACUAACUUAUGCGAAAGCAUUCACCAAGGAUGUCUUCUUUAAUCAAGAACGAAAGUUGGGGGAUCGAAGACGAUCAGAUACCGUCGUAGUCUCAACCAUAAACUAUACCGACUAGGGAUUAGCGGAAGUUGCUUUUCGACUCCGUUAGCACCUUAUGAGAAAUCAUAAGUCCUUGGGUUCUGGGGGGAGUAUGGUCGCAAGGCUGAAACUUAAAGGAAUUGACGGAAGGGCACCACCAGGAGUGGAGCCUGCGGCUUAAUUUGACCCAACACGGGGAAACUUACCAGGUCCAGACACAGGGAGGAUUGACAGAUUGAAGUUCUUUCUUGAUUCUGUGGGUGGUGGUGCAUGGCCGUUCUUAGUUGGUGGAGUGAUUUGUCUGGUUUAUUCCGUUAACGAACGAGACCUCGACCUGCUAAAUAGUAUGAGGUACUCCGGUACCUACGUGCUUCUUAGAGGGACUGACGGUGGUGAGCCGUAGGAAGUUCGAGGCAAUAACAGGUCUGUGAUGCCCUUAGAUGUUCUGGGCCGCACGCGCGCUACACUGAUACGUUCAUCGAGCAUACAACCUGGGUUGAGAGACUUGGGUAAUCUUUUCAAAGCGUAUCGUGCUGGGGAUAGAUCAUUGUAAUUAUUGAUCUUCAACGAGGAAUUCCUAGUAAGCGCGAGUCAUCAGCUCGCACUGAUUACGUCCCUGCCCUUUGUACACACCGCCCGUCGCUGCUACCGAUUGAAUGCAUUAGUGAGCUCCACGGACCGCUGUAUUUGUUCGCAAGGGCUUUUAUGGUGGAAUGUGGCGCAAACUUGCGCAUUUAGAGGAAGCAAAAGUCGUAACAAGGUUUCCGUAGGUGAACCUGCGGAAG